AUGCGGGUCGGGCGGCGGUCAGAUCUGCCACGGCCAGAACCGGCGUCCUCUUCCUCCCUAUCCAGCUUCCUCCCAUGGCUGAGAAGAGGGCUUCGUCAAGUAUCCCAUGACGGAGGUCAACGAGGGAGGCUGCUUCCUCCGAUCCCAGAUCGACUAUCCGUCGAUGGAGGCCAUGAGAGCCACAUGGGCACACACAUGGUUGCGCUUCAAGCUGCAGCUCGAUAG
rnacentral:rRNA from 1 species